AAGAAAGAGAAAAGAAAUCUCACUUUUUUUCACCUCUAAUGAAGGAUUUAGCUGAUGUUUUUCCAGAAAGGGUCAUGCUUUUCUGUUAGGCAUGUAUUCUAAUGGUUUCCUCUGGCGCUUACCAAUUAAACCGCUUUUCCUCUACACACACAGGCGCGCGCGCACACACACGUCUUUUGUGUCCUGCUGGACGUGGUGAGAACUGUGUGGGAGGCCGUGUGGGGAACCUGUCUAGAACCGUCAGGUGCCAGCCAUAUCUUUCAGGAUUCACAGAAUGA
rnacentral:lncRNA from 1 species